AUUCAUAUGGCAUAUCUUGAUUAUCUCCCCUUAGUUUUAUAUGACCUUGAUGAACAAGACUUAUAUUUUUAUUGUGUAUAUAACAUGUAUUUUUUUUCAGUUUUAUAAUAUUAGUAUCAUGCUUAAGACACUAUUCUGUUUUAUGGUCUCUGUUCAUAUGGAAUACAACGAAACUGCUACUGAAUUACCGUAAAUGUUGCUGUACUGACCGCAUCGAUACAUAACCCGUAAUU
rnacentral:lncRNA from 1 species